UCCAGACUCCUACGGGAGGCAGCAGUGGGGGAUAUUGCACAAUGGGGGGAACCCUGAUGCAGCGACGCCGCGUGGGUGAAGGAGCGUUUCGGCGCGUAAAGCCCUCUCGGCAGGGAAGAAGGAGGACGGUACCUGACUAAGAAGCCCCGGCUAACUACGUGCCAGCAGCCGCGGUAAUACGUAGGGGGCAAGCGUUAUCCGGAUUUACUGGGUGUAAAGGGGGCGCAGACGGCAGCGCAAGCCAGGAGUGAAAGCCCGGGGCCCAACCCCGGGACUGCUCUUGGAACUGCGUGGCUGGAGUGCAGGAGGGGCAGGCGGAAUUCCUGGUGUAGCGGUGAAAUGCGUAGAUAUCAGGAGGAACACCGGUGGCGAAGGCGGCCUGCUGGACUGCAACUGACGUUGAGGCCCGAAAGCGUGGGGAGCAAACAGGAUUAGAUACCCCCGUAGUA
rnacentral:rRNA from 1 species